rnacentral:rRNA from 1 species
AACGAACGCUGGCGGCAGGCUUAACACAUGCAAGUCGAACGCCCCGCAAGGGGAGUGGCAGACGGGUGAGUAACGCGUGGGAACAUACCCUUUCCUGCGGAAUAGCUCCGGGAAACUGGAAUUAAUACCGCAUACGCCCUACGGGGGAAAGAUUUAUCGGGGAAGGAUUGGCCCGCGUUGGAUUAGCUAGUUGGUGGGGUAAAGGCCUACCAAGGCGACGAUCCAUAGCUGGUCUGAGAGGAUGAUCAGCCACAUUGGGACUGAGACACGGCCCAAACUCCUACGGGAGGCAGCAGUGGGGAAUAUUGGACAAUGGGCGCAAGCCUGAUCCAGCCAUGCCGCGUGAGUGAUGAAGGCCUUAGGGUUGUAAAGCUCUUUCACCGGAGAAGAUAAUGACGGUAUCCGGAGAAGAAGCCCCGGCUAACUUCGUGCCAGCAGCCGCCGUAACAC